GGUUGGAUGUCUCUUCUGCUGUAUUGCUUCUGUAGCUACCUUUGACUGGGGUGCUACAAGAUGAGCUACAAUAGUAAGCCUCCUGACAAGGGCAAACGGGAGCCAGAGAACCAGAGACAACUGGAGAGAGAUGUCUUCUAACUCUCAAGUUCCAUGGCUGAGUUUUCUUUGGGAAUCAUAUCACUUAAGAAGUAGAGGAUGGAGUAAUGGCUUCAGGGAGUGUCUUCUGCCAAGAGAGGAGGUCUGUGGUUGGAGCAGAAGAACUGAAAUGGACUUUUUGCUAUUAAAGCAUUGUGAUCAACUAGGCUGGAUGGAUUCAAGCCAAGAGACUGCAUCUGGAUGAGCCUAAGUUCUUUGGUACCCUGCUGAAAUCAAUUCUUUUCCUUUGUUAGGAGGGUCUCCAUAACAUGAGCUACUGGAAUAAGUUAAAGGAAAUACUAUUGGAAGCUCCUGACAAAAUCAUGUCUAUCACCUGAUUUUGCAGUUACUGAAUCGAUCUCUGGUGGUGAGAGCAAAAUGCAUCCUCAUGAGUGUGCAUGAUGGAAUCCAGAGAAAUGAGAUUUUUCCUGAUUUAAUGAAGCACCUUACUGAUUUUAUACUGAGGAUUGAGCCUAACAACUUCUGGGACUUGAAAAACACGCUCA